AUCCGGCCUGCCCUUCCGCCACAUUAGGCCGGAUACUUGGGAGUGUACUGUAUGUAGUUUUAAACCCAGUAGUUGUCACAUUGUAUCAAAUUGAUACAAUGCAACUGCUGUUAAGUUUAAAACUAGAACAGAGAAAUAUGAAAACAGUACAUUUCAUAGAUGUUAAUAUAAUGAUAGAACACAAGAUACACAACCAAAUCAAACUGAAGAUUGAAAUAUAUAUCAUUAUUAAUAUCAGCAUGAUUGAAUGAUCCUUGCACUUAUAAAGUAGCUGCAUUCAGUACCUACUUUAAGAGAAUUCUUACACAUUGCUCAAAUGAAGAUAAAAAGAAAGAAGAAUUUCAAAGAAUUAUAGAAGAUAAGAAGAUAUAUGGAUAUGCCUAUAAUUACAUGUGCAAAAUAUAUAAUAAAGUAGUCAGAACAAUAGAAACAAGGAAUGCCCAAAUGAUAAGCAAUGAUAGGAAGGAAACUAUACACAAAACUGACAACUUUAUAAAAAUAUGGUACUCUUCUGCAAAAAUGAAGACAGUACAAAGAAUGGCAAAGAAAAUAAGUUUAAAGAUACACACUAGAAGAGGAAAUAUUAUAUUUAAUAGAUUGGGAAACAAUAAGGAACAAUGUAAUGCAGAGCAAAAGAGAGUGUGUGUAGUAUCUAUAUAUAAUAAGGAUUUAUGAAAAGAAUACAUCAAUGUUGUUAAAAAAAUUUAGCAGGCAGAUCACAAUAUACAAAAUGGAUAAAUAGAAAAAUGCUUUAGGGUAAAUGAAUUUAUGAAUAUAGCAUAAGUAUAAAAUGGCAUAGUCCUAAGCUGAUAAAACUGUGCUUUAUUAGAAAAGCAAGAGAUUUUCUGCAAGAAUCUUUGUAAAUAGCAGAACAGUUGAAUUCAAAAAUAUGAUAUAGAAGCAACAAUCCAAAGACAUUUUGAAAGCAUGAGUUAAUCAUGUCAAAAAAAGAAAUGCAGUUUUAAAGAAAAGAUCUAAUUCCUUAAUUUCAUAAAUUUUUAAUAUAAUUAGUUAUAACUUUUCAUGUUAAAAAUCUGUAUUUUUGAAAAGUUCCAAAUGAAAUAUUUUGAAUAAAUUUGAAUUAUAAUAAUAAACAAAUGUUCUGAUGUAAUUUAAAAUGCAAUUCUGUAUACUGUACUUUAUUAAAAAAAAAUCUUCAGCCUGUACAAUCAAAAAUAUACAGUUGUUUG
rnacentral:lncRNA from 1 species